AGUCGACGUGCAACCAACGUAUGCAUGGCAUCAGGAGCACAGAAGGAAGCGCCAAAAUGCUUUCAGUGGGCGACCUGCGAAGGACGUGUGCAUCACCAGGAGCACAGAGGAUGCGCCAGAAUGUUUAAUAGCCAAUACUUUGGCUCCUGAGGAGUGUGCGCUGUUCUGCAUGUGGUGCCCGGAUGGUAUCUUCCCUGCAUCCGGUUGUGAUGGUUUUUCCUCAGCGGUGCACAGUCUGCGUCCAAACCACAAAGGCGACUUGCAAGCGACUUGUGCAUUGCGUCAGGAAGCAGACGAUGCGCCAAAAUUCUUUUAUAACGACGUGCGAAUGACGUGUGCAUCGCCAGGAGCACAGAGGAUGCGCCAGAAUGUUUAUUAGCCAAUACUGAAGUUGUUGAGGAGUGUGCCCUGUUCUGGAUGGGCUGCAUGGAUGGCAUCUUUCCUGCAUCCGGCUGUAAUGGUUUCUGCUCAGUGGUGCACAGUCUGUGUCCAAUAUGAGAAAGCGGCCCGGUGAAGAAGGCACGCCUAAUCAGAGCACGCAUGCGCUAGAGCAAUCAAGUCACGUGCUGCGCCGUCAUGUGCUCCUCAGCGACGCAACCUUCGUUUGCUCCCGGCACAUGGCACGGACUGUGCACCCGUCGAAGCGAACUUCGUGAAUCCGCUGUGACAGCCAUUCGCGUGCGGCCCCGUGAAGUCCUCGUCAGCGACAGUCGCGCCCAUCAGAGCCUUCCUCUUGUCACCUGAGGCGCGUUGUACUGUGGCAUCCACCUACACGAAGGCGUGCCUACACUUAGGAGAUGAGGAGCAAUGUCGGCGAUGGGCCACAGCAUGGGUGGUCAUUGGUUCUGGACCGCUUCUCACCCGAAGCCUCGCGACCUAUUUGGAUCGACCUCGGAUUCAGAAGCGUAUACUCAUAGCGCCCUGGACGACCGAAACACGGUACCUUCAGGGUGCACAUCGACGGCUUCGAUGGACACUGCAAUAGCUGUGAUACUCUUCAUCGUAGCCUCUAAGAGUGGCGCAAGCGGACACUGUCACUUACGCUGUGGCAGUCGAUCGCGUGCAUCGCCGUGGCGUGUGGUGCACUACCCCUCGCUUAUUCAUCACCGAUUCCCUGGUGUCACCAGAGGUAUGCGCUGUACCGCUUUGGACGUCGGAGCUUCUGCAUCGCAUUUCAGUUCGGGAACUUCGUGAGUUUCCAGCACGAGCUAAACGGGUGGUCCAUUUGCCAUCGCCUGCUUUGACGUCGACUAUCGCGUCGGGGGGCAGCGCUUUCUCCGUACGCUGCAUCUCGUAGUCAGACUUCAAAUGACCCAAUGGCUCUUGGGCCUGCCUCUGCUUCAAUAGGUGCCGAAGGCGACUGCCAGAACAGGACAUCCAUCGGUCUGCAUGUAGCGCGCAUGAGAAUCCAUUCCCGAUGACCCUCAGCUCAUCUUGGGACAAACACCUUGGCUCCAGCAAAUGUGGGCUGAGCACCGGCACUGCCGUACUAACAGCUCGCAAGUGAUCUACAGAAAGUGUAGUGGCGCAAUAAACAUGA